rnacentral:ribozyme from 2 species
UCCUCAAUGCGGCAAGCCGGUGACAAGCCCGGCGGUAGACGCAGAGUCAAGGA